UACGAAGGGGGCUAGCGUUGCUCGGAAUCACUGGGCGUAAAGCGCACGUAGGCGGCUUGUUAAGUCAGGGGUGAAAUCCUGGAGCUCAACUCCAGAACUGCCUUUGAUACUGGCGAGCUUGAGUCCGGGAGAGGUGAGUGGAACUGCGAGUGUAGAGGUGAAAUUCGUAGAUAUUCGGAAGAACACCAGUGGCGAAGGCGGCUCACUGGACUGGUAUUGACGCUGAGGUGCGAAAGCGUGGGGAGCAAACAGG
rnacentral:rRNA from 1 species